rnacentral:rRNA from 1 species
AUUGAACGCUGGCGACAUGCCUUACACAUGCAAGUCGAACGGCAGCACGGGUGCUUGCACCUGGUGGCGAGUGGCGAACGGGUGAGUAAUACAUCGGAACAUGUCCUGUAGUGGGGGAUAGCCCGGCGAAAGCCGGAUUAAUACCGCAUACGAUCUACGGCUGAAAGCGGGGGACCUUCGGGCCUCGCGCUAUAGGGUUGGCCGAUGGCUGAUUAGCUAGUUGGUGGGGUAAAGGCCUACCAAGGCGACGAUCAGUAGCUGGUCUGAGAGGACGACCAGCCACACUGGGACUGAGACACGGCCCAGACUCCUACGGGAGGCAGCAGUGGGGAAUUUUGGACAAAGGGCGAAAGCCUGAUCCAGCAAUGCCGCGUGUGUGAAGAAGGCCUUCGGGUUGUAAAGCACUUUUGUCCGGAAAGAAAUCCUUGGCCCUAAUACGGUCGGGGGAUGACGGUACCGGAAGAAUAAGCACCGGCUAACUACGUG